rnacentral:rRNA from 1 species
UACGAAGGGGGCUAGCGUUGCUCGGAAUCACUGGGCGUAAAGCGCACGUAGGCGGCUUUCUAAGUCAGGGGUGAAAUCCUGGAGCUCAACUCCAGAACUGCCUUUGAUACUGGAGAGCUUGAGUCCGGAAGAGGUGAGUGGAACUCCGAGUGUAGAGGUGAAAUUCGUAGAUAUUCGGAAGAACACCAGUGGCGAAGGCGGCUCACUGGCCCGGUACUGGCGCUGAGGUGCGAAAGCGUGGGGAGCAAACAGG